rnacentral:misc_RNA from 1 species
AACUCGUAACAAGGUUUCCGUAGGUGAACCUGCGGAAGGAUCAUUAACACGUAUCCAAACGUAAAAAACCCCCCCCGUGAACAUUCAAUCCUGCUCAAUGUAAUACAUUGGGUAAAAAAACCGAACAACUGUUAACAAUGGAUAUCUUGGUUCUC